rnacentral:rRNA from 1 species
AUGGUCAGGCCAAACAUGAAACCCAUUGUCCAGUUCUUUCUAAAGCUCCUCCUCAUUGUCCUUAGUGCACCACAGUUUAUUGCCGGCGAUGACAACCAGCGGUUUGUCUACUCCGGCUUCGCUGACACUAGCCUCGCCCUUGACAGCAUAGCCUCAGUCACGCCAAGCGGACUGCUCGAGCUGACCAACGGCACGGCGAUGAGCAUGGGCCACGCCUUCUACCCACCUCCGCUGCGCCUCCGCGACUCGCCCAACGGCACGGUGCAGUCCUUCUCCACAUCCUUCGUGUUCGGCAUCAUCUCCAUCUACGACUUGAGCAGCCAUGGCCUAACUAUGUUGGUCGCACCGAGCAAGGAUUUCUCCAAGGCCACACCAGUACAGUACCUGGGCCUUGUGAAUGGCUCGAACAACGGCAACACAACAAAUCAUAUCUUCGCCGUCGAGCUCGACACAUGGCAGAACACCGAGUUCGGGGACAUCAACAACAACCACAUCGGCAUCGAUAUCAAUGGCCUCAGCUCCGUGCAGUCCCAUCCAGACGGUUUCUUCCAUGACCACAACGGCAUGUUCAAGGACUUGACUCUCAGUAGCCAAGAGGUGAUGCAGGUGUGGGUGGACUACGACAGAGAGAAGAUUCAGAUCGAUGUUACCAUGGCUCCUCUCGACAUGGCCACCAAGCCCAAGAGACCAACAGUGUCCACCAGGUACAACCUCUCAACUGUGCUCAAAGAUGUGGCGUACAUCGGCUUCUCAUCUUCAACGGGCAAGAUAAAAACACGGCACUACGUGCUCGGAUGGAGCUUCGCCAUGAACGGUCCUGCUCCAGUCAUCAAUGUCACCAUGCUUCCAAAGCUUCCUCGGCAUCAUCCCAAGGGUAAUCGAUCCUGGGUGUUAGAAAUAGUUCUGCCAGUAGCAACAGCAGCAGUCCUCCUGUCUUUGGGCACCAUUGCUUUUCUCUUUGUCCAGAGGCAUUUAAGGUAUGCACAGCUACGAGACAGCUGGGAGAUGGAGUUUGGUCCACACAGGUUCUCGUACAAAGAUUUGUAUCAUGCAACGGGGGGAUUUGAGGACAAAAACCUUCUAGGAGUUGGAGGAUUCGGGAGAGUGUACAAAGGGGUGCUUCCGAGAUCAAGAUUGAAGAUAGCCGUGAAGAGGGUGUCACAUGAUUCAAAACAAGGCAUGAAGGAGUUCAUCGCAGAAAUUGUCAGCAUAGGCCGCCUUCAGAACCGUAAUCUUGUGCCGUUGCUUGGCUAUUGUCGGCGUAAAGGUGAACUCCUCUUGGUAUAUGAGUACAUGCCCAAUGGAAGCCUCGAUAAGUACCUGCAUGGCAAAGGGGAUAACACAGUGUUGAGUUGGGCUCAAAGGUUUCAUAUAGUCAAAGGAAUUGCAUCUGGUUUGCUUUAUCUUCACGAGGAGUGGGAAAAAGUGGUUGUUCAUCGAGACAUCAAGGCAAGCAAUGUGCUCCUUGACGACAAGAUGAAUGGGCGAUUGGGUGAUUUCGGCCUUGCAAGGCUAUAUGAUCAUGGCAUCGACCCACACACUACACAUGUGGUUGGCACCAUAGGCUACCUAGCUCCAGAGCUAGCACACAGCGGAAAUGCCACUCCUCCUACAGAUGUCUUUGCUUUCGGCAUGUUCAUCCUUGAGGUCACCUGUGGACAAAGGCCUGUCAAUUACCAAAACGCACAAGGCAACCAGCUCAUGUUGGUUGAUUGGGUGAUUGACAAUGUGCAGAAAGGAUCAUUCGAUGAUACAGUGGAUGCUAGGCUAAAAGGGAGGUAUGAUGUUGAUGAGGCCUAUUUGGCGCUAAAGAUAGGGCUACUAUGCUCACACCCAUUCAUCAACGCGAGGCCUAGCAUGCGGCAAGUUAUGCAAUACCUAGAUGGGGAAAUUGAACCUCCAGAGUUAAGGUCCGAGUCGCUAGCCUUAAUGCAAAAUGAUGGGUUCGAGCCAUACACCAUUUCCUAUCCUUCGUCAACUACAAGCAUUGGCACAGUGUCCCACGUCUCAGGAGGAAGAUGA